ensembl:lncRNA
AUGAGAUGGCCACUGCCAGGGGACUGCCUUUUCUGCAGCCCUUCCCUAAAUUAUUAUUUGUUCUCAGCAAGCUUUACAUUAUUUCAUAAUUUCUUAGAUGUUUCUACCUGUCAGUUAUUCCAGGGACUUUUGAUGAAAAAUGAGGGCAGGAGAAAAUCAAACUGGAAGACUACAAAGAGCUGCCUGUACUCCAUGGAACAUCUUCUAAAGCCUCACAUCUGGAGUGGGAAUAUUCAUAUGCAUGGAAAGCUUCAGCUACCAGGAGAAAAUAACUGGGCAGCAAUCACAGAGGAGGAGAUCCAGAGAACCUCACAAGCAGUUCUUGUUUGGCUCCUGGGCACUCACCCAGACUCACCCUCCGGCAGAGACAAAAAGUGCCAUUCAUGGACUGAAAAUUGGAGCUUCAGUUCUGGGUAACCAUUUGGCUGACAGAUGUUUCUGCUUGCCUGUCUCCAUCAUCGUUUUUUCUCCCAACUAAUUCCUAUCCUAGGAAGUGUGUGGCACUAGUGCAAAGAAGGAAGGGGGGAACCCACAAAAAAUUAAAAGCAUUUUAAAAGCCUUGGGGUGUGAAUUUCCAACCUGUUGGCAGGUGAUGUCGGGAGGGUGUGCCUGCACCUUCAGGUAUGGGUGGGAGCCUGACUGCAGUGGAUAUUUCAUGUCAGUCAAAGGCACAUGUUACACAAUGUCUCCCAACUCGUGUUUCACAGGUCAGGAAGUGCCAGCAGUCCAACGGUUCAGAGAAAUCCUGUCUGACAAAAUGUGCAGAGUUGAGCCCUGGUCCAACUAGGAUGAGGGACACCUCUGUCCAUGCAGAGCUGUCACCUGUGCCCAGGCCUUCAAGCUAAGACCAGGAUCUUAAUGAGGGCUGUGGUAAAGCAGGAGGUUGGUAAAGUACUGGGUAAAGCUCAGGAGGAAUUCUGCUUUCUCCAUUCCUUGAGCAGAUCAGAUCCCAUCUUAUUUUUGCCCACUUCAAUGAGUCCCUGAUGGAUUAAACUGGCACAUAGAAAGGAGCACAAAGCUCAGUAUUUUGCCUUUCGGAGCCACCUUCAAACAUCAAGCACCUCACAAAACCUCCUUAGACCCUGACAGCUCCUUCCUGCUGGAGGAGUGCCUGGAUAUGGCUCUCACAGUCUUUGUAGACAUUGUUGAGAGCAAGGCCAGAAGGCUGAGAGCAGGGUCCAGCAGCCGUGUGCAGUACUCACAUCCACUCCCCAACACCAUCCUGCUCACACCUGCUCUCCACCACCCCCUGUUGCUGUCGUUGUCCCAUCAGUGUUUUCUUCCAGUGUUCCCAGCAGCUCCUCAGGCAGUACCAGCCCUUCCCAGCCUUGCAGGCAGCCUUAGCUGCCAGGGUGAACCAGUGGGUGAGCUUUAAACAGCAGAAAAGAAUAAAAAUUAGAAUAAAGAAUAAAAAUUGCUUCUC